CUUUAUGGCUGCUGUGCGCGGGAGAUCUUCGGGUCUGCCGGGUUUUCCUAGAUUCUGCCGGUUCGCCAACCCGCGUACAGCAGCCACCUUU
rnacentral:antisense_RNA from 1 species